rnacentral:rRNA from 1 species
GACGUAGGGUGCGAGCGUGUCCGGAUUUAUUGGGCGUAAAGAGCUCGUAGGCGGCUCGUCGCGUCGACCGUGAAAACUUGGGGCUUAACCCUAAGCUUGCGGUUGAUACGGGCGGGCUAGAGUUCGGUAGGGGAGACUGGAAUUCCUGGUGUAGCGGUGAAAUGCGCAGAUAUCAGGAGGAACACCGGUGGCGAAGGCGGGUCUCUGGGCCGAUACUGACGCUGAGGAGCGAAAGCGUGGGGAGCGAACAGG